rnacentral:misc_RNA from 1 species
GUUAAAACUACCCACGUUGUGUUACCAAUAAGGGUUGAUAGAAGGAGGGUAAAAACAAAAAUACAAAAUGGAUAAGCUUUUUACAUCAUAUAGACCCCUCAUACAAGCAGGCAGGCUAGGAUCCAAAAAAAAUAAAUCCAAAAGCCUGCAAUUCUGUAAGGAUACACAUAUAGACUUCACCUCUACUAGUUUGAUUGCUUCGUAACAUGGAUAUUAAAAAACACAAAAUAGAACUGUACAAGGAGAAUAAGGAGAAGAAUCGGUGAAUGCUGACCCGAUCAUCUCCCUGAUGUGACCAAGGUUUUCUCCUCUGAGCCUUGAGCAGACUCCAGUCUUGUGGGAAGAGGAAGAGGUAAAGGUAGAGGUGGGCUUGGAUUUGUAUGAGAUAGGGGAAGUGCUGGUACUAACUCUUCCUCAGGAGGAGCUGGUGUUGGCUGAUCUGGUUUUGGUGCAUGUGUGAAGUUGAGAUCUUUGUUGGCAGCCAAUGCAAUAAGCUCCUUUUCCUCCAGCCCUUUUGCUGGCCCAUGGCCGCAUGGUUCUGUCGAGUGUUUGGCCAGUGCAUCUUUAAAUUUCUUGAU